GCAAGAAGCCUGGCAUGUCAAGGGCUCUGGCCCCUGGCCCCGCCUGGCUCUCCACUGUUCCCAAGUGUUUUUUCCCCAUCACUCCCUCCUUGGCCCAGACCCAUCCUUUCAUGUUAUUCCUCUGGGGAUGGUCUGUAUCCUACCAGAGGCUUACUCAAGGAAAUAAAUUUUUAGUGGUGGAAUAUUGAGCAUGUUAUAGUCUCGGCCAAGGGUAGACAGCUGGGAAGGGGGUCCCUCAAACCUCACCUCUUGGGCAGUUGCCUCCUGUCCCUGUGAAUACAGCUGCUUUGCCAGGAUCAGCCUCCAAACUCCGUCUGGGCUAGGCCACCUUCCUCCUAGGAUUCAACUCCAAGUUGGCACCUCAUGUUUUUCUUCCUCCGUGCCUUCAUUUGCAUGCCGUUCUGGUCCCCUGCAGGGCCUCCUUCUCCUCCCCCAACACCACUGUCUCUUAUCUGUCGAAGGCUACCCUUUUCUUUAAGAUGCAGUUCAAAAGCCACGUCUCCUUUAGGCCAAUCCUUUUGGAUCUCCCAAUCAGAUAUAACUUCUCCUUCUGAAUCCUCCGAAAGCACAGUGCUGAUAACCAUCAAUCAUGUAUGGCUUUGUCUGAAGGAUACUGGGGGACAAAAGCUGUCUCUGUUGUACCUGACAUUCUAGAAUGUUAUGGUUCUUUGUUGCAUGUAAUACAAGUUGGUGCUGGUUAUAAGCUUCUGAACAAUGAUAAGGAUGGUGCCAUUUGACAUUCAGUCAAGAGAUGGAGUAGGAAGGCUUGAGAUACACAAUCCAUAUAUUUAAGGCACUUUCCAUCUGGUAGAGAAACGGAAAUGUACGCACACAGCGGCACAUGCGAUGGCAACAGAACCUAGGGCCUGUACCAGGCCUACUGAGGAGUGAGCUGAUGUGGCUGAGAGUUUUGGAAUGUGAGGCUGGGAUGACAAGCCUGGAGCCUGGCUCUUUUGCGCUCAGUGAGGAUUGCUCCAGCCCCAACUCUCAGCAAAGCCCAGGUGUGGGGAGCAGGGGAGGCGAGACAGAGACGAGGAGGGACAGAAAUAUGGUUUCACACCUGGCCCAGCAACUCCUGCCGCUGGAAAGCACGGCGACUCAGGAUGUCAAUGCCCGCCAGAGGCUUGGGCUUCAUGUCCUGCAUUUUGGAGACUGUAUCUGGAGAGGCACAGUGCGAGGGGCAUCGGGAGGCAGGAGUGGGACCGCAGCAGAGAGGGGUUUUGCAACCAACCUCUGGCUGGUCAGCACAGGAGUGUCAGGUUCUUUGCUGUGGGGCUGCUGGGGAUGAGAGAGGCAGGAAGAACCCCUGCGAAGAGCAGUGAGAAGGGUAGGAGCCAGGGGCCUGCAGGGUGAUGGCAGGCUUUGAAGUGUGUGGAGGGCUGCCGCAGCUGAGGCCCAGCUAUACCCAGAAGGGAGCAAGCAGCCUGAUGCCUGAGCUGGCCUGGCCCAUUCGCCUCUUGUAGCCCACCCUGAGAACCUUCUUGCUGUGGCUGAGCUGGGCCCUGUCUAGCCCCUGCCUCUGCACCCCCAUCACUGGCCUCAGAAGCACAGGUUCUCUCUUUACCUUCACUCUGGGGAGGCAGACAGUGGUGCAGGCUGGGUGUGUGGGUCUGUGUGUCAGGGGGUAUUGGUGAGGAUCUGGGGAGAGGUGCCUGGAUAGCUCUGAUUCUACCCACCUAAGAGAUCUGAGGCCCUCCCAGCUCCUCCCCAACUUCCACCCUCAGUGUUGUCGCAGAAACCCUCGAGCUGAUCGUGCCUACACGGGGUCAAAUGCAUUCUUCUCACCGGCCUUGGUCCCAACGUGUCAUGUAACCUUGUGUUAGUCACUCAACCUCUUUGGCCUUCUGCUUCCACGUCUGUAAAAUGAGAAGUCGCCUCCGUCCACACAUUUGCCCCUCCCCGCCGCCAACCCACACUUGCCCCAGACAGAGCUGGCAACAAGAGCAGAGUGUGGAGUGGGAGGGCCUGCCAUAGCAUGGGCCUGGAAGGAGGAGAGAGGCAAAGCCUGCAGCCAGAUCCUCACUCCCCGCCGGAGCAGCCCUGAAAAUAUUCCUGGCUGGUCUUUGCCUCUCCACGCUCACAGCAGCCUCGUGAUGACGAUGGCAGGGGGAUUCUACAAGGAGGACAGAACAUUCUUCCAUCUCCUCCCGCCCCAGCUGCUGCCUGGGAUCCACUCAUCCCCUUCUUCUCUCCUUGGCCUCACUCUGCAGCGGGGGGCUCACUCACUCCAGGGUUCAGCCACUGUCCACCUGCUAAUGAGCUAAGAAGUCCCAAACCUCCACCACCAGCCCAGCGUUCAACUCCAUGGGCCCCAGGGCUGGGCACCAGGGUGGGAAGGGAUGUGGUCCUCCCGCUAAACACAGCACAUGGUGCCUCCUGGGGCUGCACAGGGAGGAGGCCUUGCCCAGACCUCUAUCCAGGGCACCAGGAACCUCUGGCCGACUGCCUACAGGACAUCUCCACCUGGAUGUCCCACAGGCCCUCAAACUCAACCUGACCCCCGAGCACCUCAGCUCCUUUCCCUUUUCAUAAUGGGACCAUUCUCCCAGGGACUCAGUCUUCACACCUUUGCCCUUUCUGAUGUCCCUUCUGCCUUUCUCUCACCUCUACUCUCUUCCCAAGUUCCGUCGGUCCUGUCCCAUGCUGUCCUUUUUCUCCAUCUUUUCUGCUCCUGGAUCACUUGUCUUAUUUUCUAGUGAUCAAACAUGCGUAGAGCAUGAGUUAGAUGGCUGGCUCUGUUCCUAGUGCCUUACAAAUCCUAGCUCUCCUCAUUCUCGCAACCUUCAGUUUACAGAUGAGGAAACUGAGGCACAGAGAAGUCAAGCAUCUUGUGCAGGGCCAGGAUUGGGACCCAAGCAGCCUGCUCUAGAGCUGGGCUCUGACCCUCCACAAGAGCCAUCAUUGAAGUUCCACUUACCCCUGCACCUUCAAUCUCUUCCUCUCUCCAUCCCUCCCACAUGUUCACAGAUGAAAUCUUCUUCUUUUCUGAUUUAAGAAAACAAUAUAAUGACCAGCAUGGCAAA